rnacentral:rRNA from 1 species
CCUACGGGUGGCUGCAGUGGGGAAUAUUGCACAAUGGGCGCAAGCCUGAUGCAGCCAUGCCGCGUGUGUGAAGAAGGCCUUCGGGUUGUAAAGCACUUUCAGCGGGGAGGAAGGCGGUGAGGUUAAUCACCCCAUCGAUUGACGUUACCCGCAGAAGAAGCACCGGCUAACUCCGUGCCAGCAGCCGCGGCAAUACGGAGGGUGCAAGCGUUAAUCGGAAUUACUGGGCGUAAAGCGCACGCAGGCGGUCUGUCAAGUCGGAUGUGAAAUCCCCGGGCUCAACCUGGGAACUGCAUUCGAAACUGGCAGGCUAGAGUCUUGUAGAGGAGGGUAGAAUUCCAGGUGUAGCGGUGAAAUGCGUAGAGAUCUGGAGGAAUACCGGUGGCGAAGGCGGCCCCCUGGACAAAGACUGACGCUCAGGUGCGAAAGCGUGGGGAGCAAACAGGAUUAGAUACCCUUGUAGUC